UAAAAAUUAAAUUAAAAAAUUUAUAUUUAUAUAUAUAUAAAAAAGUAUCUAUAUAUAACAUUCUCUAUAUAUAAAAAUAAAACUUAUGAAAAAACUAUGUGAUAAAAACAACACAUUUUUAAUAUUACAUGAGCACUGUGUUUGACCACAUUUGUUACCAUCAGUAGCAUACUGUGUUCAAAAUAUAGGGCAGUUCGGGUGAGUUAUUUAUUGGUAUAUAUAUACUUGGCAGCUGGACACAACCAGUUACUUUUUAACUGAAGAAAAUCUGCAAUUGAGCAACAGCAUAAGGGUAUAAACAACAUCUUAAAUGCCAAACAUUUACUGAUCCUGAGAUCACUUUGGGAGAGAAAACAGAAAGCAAGAUUUCCCACCUUCCUUCCCAAAAAGAAUAAUAAUGCUAUAACACAAUAUAAAAAUUAAUUCAUUAAUCUUCCAGCACUCACUUUCAAAGACCAGAUUGUGAAGCCGUUUUAUGGAGUACAUAUCGAUGACAAUAGCCUGGCCUUGAAUGCCAUACUAAAAUAUAUUUCUUAUAUAUCACAUGUGAAAGCUUUAAUCUUGCAGACUCUCCAAUUCUUUCCAGCACAACUGCAAGGAGAUUGGAAGCUUUUACUUCAAUUUUCAGCUCAUUAUAUCUGAACCCUGAGAGACCACGGUAUGAACUAUGAUAUAAUGGAAGAGAGUUACAGUAUGAUCAUCUUGACAGACAGAUGAUAACCCCUCGUGGCAUAACUACUGCAAGGUGUUCUACAUGAAGCUGCCUUUUAAGACCACCUGGAAGGUUCAACUGUUCUAGAAUGCAGCAGCAUCGGCAAUCAUAGGCACACCCCAAUGUACCCAUGUGACAUUCCUCUUUCACAGGUUCCAUUGACUGCCACUUGAUUUUGGGUGCAAUUCAAGGGGAUGGCUGUAUUCUAUGAAACCUAACACAGUACAGUUAUUUGAAGCACCCGCUAUCUCCUCUGGUGUCUGUGCAGCCAAUAUGAGCAAAGAUUGGCACGCUCUGGAUCACUUUGAUUAAACAGCAUCAUCUAUCAGGAUUCAGGAAGCCUUUAUCGUGGUGCCUUUCCUCUAAAAGAAAAUUUCCUGUAAAGAUCUAAGUGUCUCCCACCGUAACUGUGUCCUGGAAGCCUUAAAAGACUUGGCUGCUCGGCUAAGCCCUAGGAUAAAGUAGUUGGAAAUCCUUGCUGGAUAUGUUUCAUGUGAUUGGCAGAUUCAUCAUAUUGUUUUUUUCUAUUGUAUUUUUAUUCUGUAUGUUUAUGCUGUAAGCAAUCCAGAAUCAAGCAGCACCUACAGUAAAUCAAAUAAAACAAAGGCACACAAGUUCUUCUAUAUCACGGGUGUCAAACUUGAUAGUGUCAUGUGAUGUAUCGUGAUGUAUUACAACAUUUUUUGCCUUUGCAGAGCCGGUAUGGGUGUGGUGUGUGCAUCUGCCCCGUGGGCUGCCAGUUUGACACCCUUGUUCUAUAUAAUUUCCUUCUAAUUAAUCUACAGGGAGGGAAGGGGGGAAGGAGGAUGGACAGUCAUAGGAACCAAUUACUUUAGUUUAAAAAACCCUCAAAUGUACUAGAAAUAUGGUUGGUUAUGUAACAUGGACCAUUAUUAUGUUAAAAUUAAUAGCUGUGCUUUCUAACACAUAUUAGCCAUGCUGGUUGCAGUAGCUUUAUAAUAAACCAUAGUUUAUAACAAACUUUGUUUUGCACAUUAAUGCAUUGAUAUUUGGCUACAUCUGUUCAGAACUAAAGGCUCAUCUAUGCACUUACCGUGUUCCAGCAUCAAAAUACUGUCGUUUGCUUUCCUUUUAUUGAGGUUCUGACCAUGGGGUUUUCAUUCUGGCCCCAGUCCCUUCUCUAUACAUUUGUCUUCUACAUUUGUGAAGAAAGAGCCUGGAAGAGGCUAGUCACCUCCAGGGCUCCAAUUGGUUUACUGCACAACUGCCCCUCCAAUAUAACCAAGACAUUAUAUACCUCCGUGACCAACUCUCUUUCAACUCCCAGGGUCCAGAGCAGGGGUGUCCAACCUUUAAGACUUGUGGGCUUCAAUUUCCUUCAACUUCAACUCUCUUCAACAUGGCUGGGUGGGGAAUAAUGGGAGUUAAAGUUCACAAGUCCUAAUGUUGCUAAGGCUGUUUCCCCACCCCAGCUUUCCUGGCAACCAAUGGUUAGGUUUCUAAUAUAAAAGAAAUGUUCCACAAGGCUGCAUUCAAGCUAUUGACCCCUGCACCACUCACUGUUACUUCCUAUGAUGAUAGUCUUCCCAUUUGGAAUCUUCUUUGUUAUCCCAACUUCAUCCCUUGCUUACCUGCCUACUUUUCUCUCCCAUUCAAGCAAUGCAGAUGCUUCACCUUCCCUUAUCCUCUCCCCUUUGCUGCGCCUUCUCUUAAUCUUCAGUUUAUUAGAGAACAACCCAAAGUUCCAUCCCUAAUGCUGACAGUAGCAGCUGCUGGUAACUACUGCCCUUAGAAGGAUCUGGGCAUUGGAUAAAUAUAAAUCUGUAUAAUUCACAUAUAGAUUAGUAAGCUUUUAUGUCAAAAAUACAUAAUAAAUAAAUUAUAAACAUAGUACUGAUAACUGCAAUAGCUAACAUAGUAACAAUGUACUAGGAAAAAUAAUGGAAGUAUCUAAACAAAUGGUGUAUAUAUAUAUAUAUAUAUAUAUAUAUAUAUAUAUAUAGAGAGAGAGAGAGAGAGAGAGAGAGAGAGAGAGAGAGAGAGAGAGAGAGAGAGAGGAGAGAGAGAGAGUUGAUAAU